AAUGCUUAAUGCUCAUUUCUGUAUUUUGUUACCUUCUUCAACUGUGCAAGUGCAGUUUGUGGCUGUGGGGUUACCAAUUCAAUACGUUUCUACGUAUUGGGCUUUAAUAACGUCAACAGAAAAGAAAAAAAUAUUUGAAGAAAAAAAAAAAAGAUGCUUGAUUUUGCAAUUAUUACUAUUAUUGUUUUCUCAUACAACAAUAAGGAAGUAAGGCUGUCCAGUGUUUCCCACAGAAUUAGAUUCUAUUUGUGGUGGUAGCUGACCCAUGGAAAGAGGUGCAGACUUCUUAUAUUAAUUGUACUGCAAAUAUUUUUAUACUAAAUUCUGUAGGUAACAAUUCAAAAUUUUAAAAUGAAAUGGAAUAAU